GUGGUCUGUGGCCUGUGCGGUGCGGCGCUGUUCUAUGGCGACAGCAUGAUCACUCCGGCGAUCUCGGUGCUGUCGGCCGUG
rnacentral:tRNA from 1 species